rnacentral:rRNA from 1 species
UACAGAGGUCUCAAGCGUUGUUCGGAUUCAUUGGGCGUAAAGGGUGCGUAGGCGGCGCGGUAAGUCGGGUGUGAAAUUCGUGACUUAACUCCGAAACUGCAUUCGAUACUGCCGGUGCUUGAGGACUGGAGAGGAGACUGGAAUUAGGUGUAGCGGUGAAAUGCGUAGAUAUCGAUGAAGGAAGACCAGUGGCGAAGGCGGGUCUCUGGACAGUUCCUGACGCUGAGGCACGAAGGCCAGGGGAGCAAACGGG